GAUGGUCCUAGAUCCUGAUCCGAAGGGUUACACAAUAGUGCUACUACAAUACAUCUUGGUGAAGAGGCGCCUUUUGUUCUCUCUGUUUUUACUAAAGCUUCGAUAAGUCUUGAAACUUUAUAAUUUUGCAUUGAUGGCCCAUUUGGUUUGGGUUUGAGUUUGGUCAUCACUUGUGGGUCCUAUCUCCCCAAAGGGAUUCUGCACGGACUAUCCCCAAUCAUUCACACGUGACUGAGAGCUGGUUGAACUUUGCAGUAAAAAAGCUCGGCAUGCCUAAUUCCCCCACUCUACUUUUAACAGGCAUAGAAAGAGGAGAAAGGAUGGUAUGUCCUUUGCGAAUGGAUGAAGCAAGCUGUCUUAUUCUGGGAAGUCCAUGGUUGCUAAAUGUCAUUUCUGUAUGGGUGCUGGAAGUCUCUAAAGCCAAUAGAAGGAAGAUGGUCCAUUGAUUCUAGUCUUCAGCUCUGAACAUGGUCUCGAAGAGGGUUCUCAGGUAUUAGAAUACUGUACAUGAGUAGAUGUAAGAAAAUAGGAUUUAGUUAUGUAAAUAGUAGUAGAUGUGAGGGAUGCGCUACUGGAUGCAUGUUGGAGUCCACCAUAUGGCUGAAAUAUCAAUUGAAGUUUUAGCAUCAGUUUUGAAGUACUUGUAGACAUCACUUCAUUAAUUGUAAAAACCAAACAUUCUUAUAUCAAUGGAAUUAACUAACACCUUUCUACAAUCUUCA